AGCCCGCCCGUCGGCUCCGCGGGCUGCGUCUCUCCUACCCGCUCUCGACCACCGCCGUCGCCGCCGCUCGGCCUCCGGCCUGAUCCCGGCCGGACCCCAACCGGUCCGUUCACCGUUCCCCGCUCGGGCCGCCGGCGCCUGGAGUCCAGCAUUGACCCGGAAGCAGACUUCGCGGCCCAACAACAACACGUGACCUGGCCGCACGUGCCACGUCCGCUGCGUGAAUGGGAGGGGCGCCGGAGGAGCGGGUCCUCCCGAACCCAGCUCCGGUUGCCACGGCGACGGGGGGAUGUCCGUGCAGGGCUGGUCGCCGCUAGACACCCACUUCGUCUGCUCUCUUGCCGGUCUUGAUGGGACGUCCUAGGCGCGAAGGAGGAGUACAGACGGUCACAUCAGAGCGAGCCGGGCAAGGCCGCCCCCGGCCUGGCAGGCUGCUGCCUUACGGAACGGAGCACUGGGUUGACUCUUUCCAGACUCACCUGGAAUCUUGUCCAGGCUCCGCCACUAAUUUGCUGUGUGACCCUGAUCACUCACUUCCUGUCUGUGGCUUCAACUGUCCUCACUAGUAGGUAUUUUAUAGACUCGAGAACCGAAGUUCACAGAUCAAGUGAUCCACCCAAGGCACGCAGUUAGUAAAAGUGACCAGGCUGACAUUGGAAUCCAGGAACAUACAUGGAACAGGGAUGAUGCUGGCUGAUCCUGAAGAGAAUUUAAUCUUGUAUGGAUAUACUAGCUGAAGUGCUAGAACGUGAAGAGGAGCAUAAGAUGUGCAUGCUUUCAUGUGAUGUGUGUCAGGGAGUGUGUGAGGAGCUGUGAUAUGCAUGCAUAUGUACAUAUUGGUUCCUUGAAAGAGGGAGACAAAAUUCUUUUCUGGGGGGGCACCCAGUGGUGGUUUUCCAGCAUCGGUUCCUGGGGACUUACUUCUCUUGUUUUGUUUUAUUUUGUCUUACCCCAUAGGCACGGCUUAGAGGAGUUAGAGGAGAAAACAAGCUGAAAUGAACUAGCUAAAGAAAAUAGUCUGAGGUCAAGGGGAAGGUAAGCCAAGUGUGUGGCUUGGAUGGCUGAGGGGAGGAUUACCCUCCUCCUUCUGCAAAGAGUAGAGCACCUUUCUGACACUUUAGGAUUAAUGGCUUUAGGAGCAUCAGGAUCAUUAGCAUGACCACUGUCAAAACUAGCCUCAGUGGCAAGAACCAUAAGAAGAGCAGAGUGACACUGCACAUAGGAGGAAGAACAAGAUGGAGACUGCAUGGAUACUUCAGGGACAGACUUACACGGGCUCAGGUGCCCUUGGGGACCCUCAGAAAUGCUUAGGAGGCUAGAUAUCCUGUGAGCAACUAGGAGAAAAGGCAAGAAAUGUGGUUUAUUAUUGUUAAAUACUUUGUACAAUGUAUAUAAAUAUAUAUUUUGUGUAUA